rnacentral:piRNA from 1 species
UGUUUUGGGAACCUCCAAGGACAUCUGAC